rnacentral:lncRNA from 1 species
UCUUGGCGAGAAAGGCGUUGGCCUGCGAAAAGUGGCGGCAGCCGAAAAAGCCGCUGGUGGCCGACUUGGGCGACGGGUGGGCGGCCUCGAGGAUCUUGUGCCGGUUCUGGUCGAUCAACUUGCGCUUGCUCUGGGCGUCGCGGCCCCAGAGCAUAAAGACCACCGGGUGCGUCGAGCGCCUGCUCACGAGCGAGAUCACCGCGUCGGUAAAGGGCUCCCAGCCGCGGUCGCGGUGCGACCCCGGAUGUCCGGCCUCGACCGUGAGGCACGUGUUGAGCAGAAGCACGCCCUGGCGCGCCCACCCGAUCAGACAGCCCGUCGCGGGGGCAAAGUCGACGGGGCGCGCCAGGGCGGCGAGGUCGUUGCGGAUCUCGGCAAACACAUUGACCAAACUGGGCGGCGUGGGCGUGCCCGGCUGCACCGAAAAGGACAUGCCAUGCGCCUGGCGCUCGUGGAUGUAGGGGUCCUGGCCGAGGAUGACGACGGCCACGUCGGCCGGAUCCGUAUCGAGGCGCGCGUCGCCGCUCGACUGCGCGGUCGCCACGCGACACCGGCGCAGGGCCUCAAACACCUGGCCCACGGGCGGGUAAAACACCCGGUGGUGUCCGAUCUCGCAGCGGAGAAACUGCGCCACGCGGUCAAACGUGUAGUGGGCGCAGGCUUCGCGCAGCAGCGGCUGCCAGUGAGGCGGCAGUUUGUCAAAGAGCCACGCCGCGUGGACCGACAGCGGAUAGUCGUCGUCAUCAGCGGGGCAAGGCGACGCCGAUGACGAUGACGAUGGCGAUGAUGACGUUGUCGUCACGCUGUCGCCGCGUGCCCUUUUGGCCACUGCCGCCGUGGUGGUAGUGACCGUCAUCGACGAUGCGGCCGUGCACGGCGCCGGGCGCUUGCGCGUCACGAUAAAUUUGUCCAUGGACCGGUCCAACUCGCAACAAGGACGACAACAGGCAGCACAGUCGGUGUUUUUUUGCCGGUUCUUUUUACCUGCCUCUGUCGCCUUUCGCGCUCGUCCUUUGCCGUCGCUGAUCUUUUUUCUUUUCUUUUCUUGAAUAUCCUUCCUUGGCGGUCCUCUCUGUUUCUGCCGUGGAGACGACAACCGCACAGACGUCGUUUUUUUGGCGCGCGUCGAUUCGCGCCUCUCGUCGUCGCCGUCGCGCAAGUCUCUGACCAAAACAAGGGAACCAACAAUGAAAAAAAAAAAGAAGAGAAGAAAGCAGCGCGUCGCAACCUUGGUGCCCUUUGAGGCGGGGCCAAUUGGCGCCUCGGUUCGCUCAGGGGCGGCAGGGACCCCGGCGCCGGCCACAUCGCACGCGGCGGCACGCCGAGAAACCGAGCAAAGCAAGGAAAAAAGGAAUAAGAAAAUGGCGUCCGUUUUUUUCAGACCAAUAAAAACACAGAGACAAGGGGCAAG